GCCUUCGUGGUGUAGUGGUCAGCACGCUCGACGCGUACCCGAAAGGUCCGUGGUUCGAUUCCCGGCGAAGGCG
rfam:Stegodyphus mimosarum contig65728, whole genome shotgun sequence.